UACAGAGGGGGCUAGCGUUAUUCGGAAUUAUUGGGCGUAAAGGGCGCGUAGGCGGCCAUGCGUGUCUUCCGUGAAAUCCCUCGGCUUAACUGAGGACGUGCGGAAGAAACUGCAAGGCUCGAGUCCGGGAGAGGGGGGUGGAAUUCCCAGUGUAGCGGUGAAAUGCGUAGAUAUCAAGAGGAACACCUGAGGUGAAGACGGGUUGCUGGGCCGACACUGACGCUGACAGCGCGAAAGCCAGGGGAGCAAACGGG
rnacentral:rRNA from 1 species